rnacentral:rRNA from 1 species
AACCUAAAGGCAAAGUACCGUAGAGAGAGUAGGUUGGCUGACAUUGAAGCCACGAUAGCCUACUUUGAAGAGAAAGCAAAAGAAGAUAGUGAUUUCUUCUAUAGGAUAAGGUUGGACGAUGAGGACCGUGUUAGAAACAUGUAUUGGGUGGAUGGUACUGCAAGAAGAGCCUACAAACAUUUCCGUGAUUGCAUUUCAUUCGAUGCAACAUAUCUCACGAAUAUGUACAAGAUGCCAUGUGCUCCAUUUGAAGGAAAUAUGCCCUAG